GGCUCUUUAGCUCAGUUGGGAGAGCGACAGACUGAAGCUUGUCCUCGUGACAAGUCGCCUUCUGCAGGUCUCCGGUUCAAUCCCGGAAAGGGCCA
rnacentral:tRNA from 1 species